GAUGAACGCUGGCGGCGUGCCUAAUACAUGCAAGUCGAGCGAACAGAUAAGGAGCUUGCUCCUUUGACGUUAGCGGCGGACGGGUGAGUAACACGUGGGUAACCUACCUAUAAGACUGGGAUAACUUCGGGAAACCGGAGCUAAUACCGGAUAACAUUUGGAACCGCAUGGUUCUAAAGUGAAAGAUGGUUUUGCUAUCACUUAUAGAUGGACCCGCGCCGUAUUAGCUAGUUGGUAAGGUAACGGCUUACCAAGGCGACGAUACGUAGCCGACCUGAGAGGGUGAUCGGCCACACUGGAACUGAGACACGGUCCAGACUCCUACGGGAGGCAGCAGUAGGGAAUCUUCCGCAAUGGGCGAAAGCCUGACGGAGCAACGCCGCGUGAGUGAUGAAGGGUUUCGGCUCGUAAAACUCUGUUAUUAGGGAAGAACAAAUGUGUAAGUAACUGUGCACGUCUUGACGGGACCUAAUCAGAAAGCCACGGCUAACUACGU
rnacentral:rRNA from 1 species